CCAUCUGGAAGAAUCUGGAGACAGGUGCUGCAUGGCUGUCGUCAGCUCGUGUCGUGAGAUGUUGGGUUAAGUCCCGCAACGAGCGCAACCCUUGCCUUUAGUUGCCAGCAGUUCGGCUGGGCACUCUAAAGGGACUGCCGGUGUUAAACCGGAGGAAGGUGGGGAUGACGUCAAGUCCUCAUGGCCUUUAUGACCAGGGCUACACACGUACUACAAUGGCCGAUACAAAGGGCAGCGACACUGCGAGGUGAAGCCAAUCCCGUAAAAUCGGUCUCAGUCCGGAUUGGAGUCUGCAACUCGACUCCAUGAAGUUGGAAUCGCUAGUAAUCGUGAAUCAGAAUGUCACGGUGAAUACGUUCCCGGGCCUU
rnacentral:rRNA from 1 species